UGAUUCUGGUUCUGGUUCUGGUUCUGGUUCUGGUUCUGGUUCUGGUUCUGAUUCUGGUUCUGGUUCUGGUUCUGGUUCUGGUUCUGAUUCUGAUUCUGGGCCGUGUGUUCAGGAUCUGGGAGUGACUAAAGUGGGCCACAUGAAGAGGAUCCUCCAGGGCAUCAGGGAGCUGCACCGGAGCAGCAGCGCCAGCGAGGCCUGAGUUUCAGCCUGACCUCGUCCUCCUCUGACCUCAGAUCCAGCCGUGCCUUUGAACCGGACCAACGACCUCCUCCACCAAAACUUCACUCUCAGGUCGAGCUCCUCCAGCUCCAGCUCACACUCAUCGGUUUUAAAGAAGGACGACAGAGGGACCUCACAGGGACCUCAGAGGGACCUCAGAGGGACCUCACAGGGACCUCCACAGGGACCUCAGAGGGACCUCCACAGGGACCUCAGAGGGACCUCCACAGGACCUCAGAGGGACCUCAGAGGGACCUCACAGGGACCUCAGAGGGACCUCAGAGGGACCUCAGAGGGACCUCACAGGACCUCAGAGGGACCUCAGAGGGACCUCCACAGGGACCUCAGAGGGACCUCAGAGGGACCUCAGAGGGACCUCAGAGGGACCUCAGAGGACCUCACAGGGACCUCAGAGGGACCUCACAGGGACCUCAGAGGGACCUCCACAGGACCUCAGAGGGACCUCAAGAGGGACCUCCACAGGGACCUCAGAGGGACCUCAGAGGGACCUCAGAGGGACCUCAGAGGGACCUCACAGGGACUCAGAGGGACCUCACAGGGACCUCAGAGGGACCUCACAGGGACCUCAGAGGGACCUCAGAGGGACCUCCACAGGGACCUCAGAGGGACCUCAGAGGGACCUCAGAGGGACCUCAGAGGGACCUCAGAGGGACCUCAGAGGGACCUCCACAGGGCCGCAGGCCACCGAGAACCACUGAGCGAGAAACUAUUUCCCCGACUUUGCUACAGGAACUUGAACCUGUCACAUUUCAGCUGGACUUUUAUCAUGAAACAAUCCAGAAUCUGAGCUCCCUUUAACACGCCCCUGCACCUCUGUGACCACGCCCCCUGCCCCUCUGUGACCACGCCCUUUAAGUCCAGACGCUGCAGGUGAAAUCAGUCAAACCUAACUCUCCCUUUACAAUUUCAGGACGUUUUGUCGCUCCCUGGUCUUUCCCACACCUUCCCAAAUACUGACAUGUUUGGUAUCCAUGUGUAGCAAGGUUGGGUAAUGGGGAGAGUCGGGACGUUUCUCAGUGGGCCACGGGGCUUUUGUGCCGUUAGAAUAAAAUCAUGAAUAACAGACUCAGUUGUUCCAGGCCUAAAGCUUUAAAGUCCAUAUGACAGAUUUUAAUGCUCUUAAAUAUGACUUAUUUAGAUGGAUCACAUCAGUUGCAUAGUUUUCAUUUUUUUCAGUGAAGCAGCAAUUUUAAUGAAGAAAUGUUGGGCAGAAAAGUUAUUUUUAUUUGAAUUUUUAAGCUGCUGACAGGAAGUGACAUAAAAGAAGGAAACAUUCCAUGUCAUUAAUCCAGAGCAGAUUUUUCACCUGCAGCGUGUGGCUAAACCUGGACACUGUGACCGAUCAGAGACCGACUCUGUGGAUAUUUUAUACUAAAAACAUAUAUUUAUUUGUGGUUUAUCUGAAACUGUGGACGAAGAGGACGACGAGACUCGCCUUCAGCCGAACCUGCUCCAAACAAAUCUCCUCAGAUAUCCACAAGAGAGACGUGGACGAGUGUGUCCUCCUUAGAGCUGGGCACUGUUACAUACAGAUCUUUAACGAUACUUUUUACUGAUACUAAAAUAUGUGUGAAAGAUCUGCACAUUUAUCAGGUUCAUCUGCAAUGUCCAGAAAUGUGGAAAAAAUGAGGAAGAAUUUGUGAAAAAAAUGAGGGAACAACGGGGCAAAAAUAAGAGAGUUGUGUAAAUAAAAUGUGGAAAAAUGGCAAACAUUUGUUAAAAAAACAAUGGGAAUAAAUGUGGUUAAAAUGGGGACGAAUCGAGAAAAUAUUAGUCAUAAAAAAUUAGCAAAAUAAGAAAAGUUGUGAAAAAAAUAUGGAAAAAUAGGGCAAAUGUUGGGCAAAAAAUAAAAAAUAGGCGGCAAAGAUGAGCAAAAAUAGGGAAAUAAGUGGAGGGAAAUUUGGGGGAAAUCGUUUGGGAAUAGGGAAAAUAUUAGUCAUGAAAAUGAGGGAUAACAAUUUUGAAAAAUGGGGCAAACAUUGGGCAAAAGAUGUAGGAAAUAGGUGGAAAAAGUCAUUUAUUUGAGCUGAAAGAACCAAGUCACUUCCUUUAAUCCUGACCCUGGACCAACAGCAGCAAAACCUGAAUCAAUCAAUGGUUUUGUAUUUCUCAAUAUCACAACAGGAGUUUCCUCACAGCUGCACCGAACAUUAAGGCAAUAAAACAGUAAAUAAGACAAUGUAAAGUUCAGGUGAAUUUUUUUUUUGGUUCCUGCUUUUGAUACUUAUACUUUGAUACCAAUAGAACCGACUUUUUUUUUUUUAAAUACCAGACUGGUGUCGUUUAACGGUGCCCAGCCUGAGUGUGUCCACCAGGGGGCAGAGUUGGCUGAACGCGGCGUCUCCUCGAGUCUCAUGUUUAAACUGUCGUGUGUUUGUCUUAAUGUUCAGUGUUUUAUCAUCGACCUGUUUCUGCCUUAAACUCGUCUGUAACAAAAACGACUCCGACUCUUUCUGUGGGGGAUGGGAGUGACGUUCCACUCAGGUUCACAUCAGCAGAGGAACGGGAAAAACAACAGGGCUCAGUUUGGGAAAGAAAUGUCCAAAUGUUUUCCCUGAUCAUUAUUGGAAACCUGCCACUUUCACAUUUAUUCCUUUAUUCGUAUUUCUGAUUACUCAGUUCUUUUCCC
ensembl:lncRNA